UCUCUUGAACCUCCUUUACACGAACCACGCCCCACCACACAAGCACAUAGCCACACAACCAAACAAUAUAAAAAACCCCUCCACUCCAUGCCCCGCCACACCUACCACACCACAAAGCCUUUUACACCGCUCCAUACUGGUUUCCAUUUGGAAUGGCUUGCCACUGAGGGGCAACCUUCAUGGAAUGCAGCUUGCCGCAGCAUGUAGUAGUUCACCUGUUGCCAGAGCUUACUGUGGCAAACACAAAAUCGCCGGUAUAUGUAUUGCAUCAUAAACGAUCUAUCAGACCCGACAAUAAGGUAGAGGAAAUUGUAGAUUUUUUACUAUAGCCACCAACAUUGUGUGGUUUCCCCCGGUUUUCCCAGUUCGAGUGGUAUUACAGAGGAUAUUAUAAUAGAAUACUACAAAUUCCUCAAACUCCUUCAAGCUUUGACUUCUCAUGACAGUCUAACAAAGAGCCUAAAGUUAUCUAAAUUUGUGACUUCGAUGGCACGUUGCAGAUAAACAGUCUGCUACAAGUGAGCACGUAGUAAAACACACACUUUAGCUUAUAUAUUACUCUAUGGAUCAAAUGGAAACAAACAAGACAAGACACUUGGAGCCAAUUAAUAAUAUAU